UGCUGACACAAGAGCGACAACAGCUGG
rnacentral:piRNA from 1 species